rnacentral:tRNA from 1 species
GCCUGUUUUGCUCAGUGGGUAGAGCGUCGGCCUGCGGACUUGAAGGGUCCCAGGUUCAAUUCCUGGUCAAGGGCA